AACGAACGCUGGCGGCAGGCCUAACACAUGCAAGUCGAGCGAAGCCUUCGGGCUUAGCGGCGGACGGGUGAGUAACGCGUGGGAACGUGCCCUUUGGUACGGAAUAGCCCCGGGAAACUGGGAGUAAUACCGUAUGUGGUCGAGAGACGAAAGAUUUAUCGCCAAAGGAUCGGCCCGCGGUGGAUUAGGUAGUUGGUGGGGGAAUGGCCUACCAAGACGACGAUCCAUAGCUGGUUUGAGAGGAUGAUCCGCCACACUGGGACUGGGAAACGGGCCCGAAUCCCACGGGAGGGAAGCGUGGGGAAUUCUAGGAAAUUGGGGAAAACCUUAUUUAGGCAUUGCGGGUGAAUGAUUAAGGGCUUAGGGUUGUAAAGAUCUUUCAGUGGGGAAGAUAAUGACUGUACCCACAGAAGAAGCCCCGGCUAACUCCGUGCCAGCAGCCGCCGUAAAAC
rnacentral:rRNA from 1 species